rnacentral:rRNA from 1 species
UNCGUGCCAGCAGCCGCGGUAAUACGUAGNUCCCGAGCGUUGUCCGGAUUUAUUGGGCGUAAAGGGAGCGCAGGCGNUCAGGAAAGUCUGGAGUAAAAGGCUAUGGNUCAACCAUAGUGUGCUCUGGAAACUNUCUGACUUGAGUGCAGAAGGGGAGAGUGGAAUUCCAUGUGUAGCGGUGAAAUGCGUAGAUAUAUGGAGGAACACCAGUGGCGAAAGCGGCUCUCUGGUCUGUCACUGACGCUGAGGCUNGAAAGCGUGGGUAGCGAACAGGAUUAGAUACCCUGGUAGUCCACGCCGUAAACGAUGAGUGCUAGGUGUUAGGCCCUUUCCGGGGCUUAGUGCCGGAGCUAACGCAAUAAGCACUCCGCCUGGGGAGUACGACCGCAAGGUUGAAACUCAAAGGAAUUGACGGGGGCCCGCACAAGCGGUGGAGCAUGUGGUUUAAUUCGAAGCAACGCGAAGAACCUUACCAGGUCUUGACAUCCCGAUGCUAUUCUUAGAGAUAGGAAGUUACUUCGGUACAUCGGAGACAGGUGGUGCAUGGUUGUCGUCAGCUCGUGUCGUGAGAUGUUGGGUUAAGUCCCGCAACGAGCGCAACCCUUAUUGUUAGUUGCCAUCAUUAAGUUGGGCACUCUAGCGAGACUGCCGGUAAUAAACCGGAGGAAGGUGGGGAUGACGUCAAAUCAUCAUGCCCCUUAUGACCUGGGCUACACACGUGCUACAAUGGUCGGUACAACGAGUUGCGAGCCGGUGACGGCAAGCUAAUCUCUGAAAGCCGAUCUCAGUUCGGAUUGGAGGCUGCAACUCGCCUCCAUGAAGUCGGAAUCGCUAGUAAUCGCGGAUCAGCACGCCGCGGUGAAUACGUUCCCGGGCCUUGUNCAC